GCCGGCGUGGCGGAACUGGCAGACGCGCCAGACUCAAAAUCUGGUACUCGCAAGGGUGUGUGGGUUCGAUCCCCUCCGCCGGCA
rnacentral:tRNA from 2 species